rnacentral:lncRNA from 1 species
AAAAUAUUUAUCAUAAACUAUAAAAACAGUUUUAAAAAUAAAAUUUUUCUGCUCUACACAUCUAGAAACUUAAAUUGUAUCGUCUUCCACAAAUAAACAUCACCCACAAAUAAAAAUUAUACAUUGUUAUGUGAUUCCUCAACAUUCUUGUCUUCCACUUGCAUGUUGUUGAUGUCAUUAACAACUUCUUUAAGAGAAUCAUCUAUAUCCACCGAUGCAUUUUCUCUUUUUUCCUCCACAAUAGUUUUUUUCUGGUACAUUAUUUUUUCUUCAUCUUGUUUUUCUUUAUUUUCUUCUCCUUUUGAUGCUGCCUUAGUUUCUUCUUCUUCUUUUCUCUAUUCUUUUUCUACUAUUGUUGUAUUCUCUCCUUCUUUUUCUUCUUUCUCUACUUUUUCUCAAGAUGCAUUCUUUCUUUCUUCUUCUUCCUCUCCUGCUUUCUCUCCAUCUUCUUCACAGAUAAUUUUUUAAUUUUUUUCUUCUUCUUCUUCCUGCUUGCCUUCAUCAUGAUUAUCCUGUUCUACAACAGCUUAUUCAUCAAUUUUGUUUUCUUCUUCAUAAACAGCUUCUUCAUUUUUUUCUUAUUUUCCUUGAUUGCCUUGAUCUGGAUUUUCCUUAGCUACAACAUCUAGUUCAUCAGGGAUCAUCACCUCAUCAGUAUUAAUCGAGGCCUGUUCUAAAGCUACUACCUUAAGGACACUUCUUUAAUGUCGCUGUCAUUGUGAACUGCCUUCACUGGUGAAUGUUGACUUUGGACCUGCAUACCUGCAUUUUCAUGUAUUUAGAGUUUAUACUAAACUAUGCUAUCAAUUAAUGAGGAAUAACAUAAAUUUUAUUAUAACUAAAUUGAUUAUAUAAAAUAUACAACUUCUAUAAUAAACAACGGAGAUAUUACCUUCAUCUUCUUCUUUCUUCUUCUAUUUCUCCUUUUAUGCUCUCCUUAGCCUCUCUUGUUUCACAAAAUCAACAAUACCUUCAUCAUCUCCUCCAGCCUAAACACGCGUUCUUCUAAAUUUUCAAUCAUCGAUCUCUUUUUUGCUGCCUCAGUUUGCUUGUCCCUGGACCGUGAGUGACAUGUCUUGACACAGAAUUUUUGCCCAAAUUUCGAUCAUCGUUCCUGCCCUCACCAUCCUUCAAUAAGGUGAUGACAUUCACACUAUGCAAAUGGAUCUUCAAGCCAUCGAUGAAUGUGUCAUUCACCUCAUUCGUGAAUGCUUUAAAUUUUUUCAUGUAUUGCUACAUCAUUUAACAGACCAUGGGGAUAAGGUACAUGUGCACUCUCUACAAAUAAAUAGGCAAAAUAUGAUACUCAAGAAACACAGUAUUGUUAAAAAUAUUUUUCUAAAAAAUAGAUUUAUACCUUUGUGCUCCAUUUGUUCAAAUAUGGAUCACCUUCGAUUAGUUUAUCGAUUUUUG